rnacentral:snRNA from 3 species
GUGCUCACUUCGGCAGCACAUACACUAAAAUUGGAACGAGAAAGAGAAGGUUAGUGUGGCCCCCACGCAAGGUCGGCACGCAAACAUUUUCUAGCUUUAU